CGGAAGAAUGACAGUGGAAGCUACAAAAGUCCUAAUCUUCGAAGAUCAUUGACCAUAGAAAAUGAUCACAAUGAUAGAUAUGAACCAGUCCAGUUGCGCAUUGAAACUCAGGGUAGUUUUGGAGUUUCGAAGAGUACAAUUAGUGGACCUUGGGUCCAGGACUGCAGGGUCUUAAAUGCAGAGACAAAAAAUGGGGGCUCUAGUUCAAGUUAUACAGAGAGUAAGACUCG
rnacentral:misc_RNA from 1 species